rnacentral:rRNA from 1 species
ACGAAGCCAUGCAUGCCCGCUCACCCGGGACGCGGCGGACGGCUCAGGACAACGGUUGCACCCCCCGCGGCGGUCCCUGCUAGCCGGACACCGCUGGCAACCCGGCGCCAAGACGUGCGCGCAAGGGCGGGCGCCCGCGGGCGAGCAGCGUGACGCAGCGACGGCCCGCCCGGGCUUCCGGGGCAUCACCCGGUCGGCGCGGUCGCGGCGCGCCGAGGGCCCGA